AGGAGAAGGAAGAGAAGGAGAAGGAGGAGAGGGGGAGGAAAGAGAAGAGGAGAAAAGAAGGGAGAGGAGGAGGAGGAGGAGGAGGGAGGAGAAAAGGAGGAAGAGGAGGAGGAGGAGGAGGAAGAAGAGGAAGGCAAACCUAGCAGCGCCUUUGCGCGCGGCGCCCCGAGGGCAUCCUAGCUGCUUGCGCCCGGCCAGCCCUCGCCGGGGCUGCGCGCCUCCGGAGCCCGAGGGCGGCGAGCGCCAGGCUGGGCAGGUCCUGAGCCAACCGGAGCCCCUCCGCCUUCGCCUGCCGCUGCCUGCGCCUUGAUCUCAUCCGGAUCAAGAGCCGAACACGCCCCGCUUCCUUCGGGCCUAAACGAGCUACCACCAGGGAACCGUCAACUCCCCGAUCUCCGGACCUUUCGACGCGAGCUGAAAACUUACCUUUCUAGCAUCUCUAUGAUCGUGGGAUCAAAAUUCAGACGUUUCGACAACUGACUCUUAUUUAUGACCGUUGCUGUGUCCCAAGGGUCAUGGGAUUCCCCCCCUCCUUUAUAUUGAUAUAUUGACCAUCAUUUGUGUUGUAAAUGUUGUUACCUUGAUGAAGGUAUUUUUUCUUUUA